GGCUACUGGUGAAAUAUCACACUGCNCUUGUCAAGGCAGAAUUGUGGGUUAAAACCCCGCGUAGCCU
rnacentral:tRNA from 1 species